AUACGUAGGUGGCAAGCGUUGUCCCGGAUUUAUUGGGCGUAAAGCGAGUGCAGGCGGUCUUUUAAGUCUGAUGUGAAAGCCCUCGGCUUAACCCGAGGAAGCGCAUCGGAAACUGGGAAACUUGAGUGCAGAAGAGGACAGUGGAACUCCAUGUGUAGCGGUGAAAUGCGUAGAUAUAUGGAAGAACACCAGUGGCGAAGGCGGCUGUCUGGUCUGUAACUGACGCUGAGGCUCGAAAGUAUGGGUAGC
rnacentral:rRNA from 1 species